rnacentral:tRNA from 1 species
GAGGGUAUAGCUCGGUGGUAGAGCACUUGCCUAGCAUGUGUGAGGCCCUGGGUUCGGUCCCUGCCCCCUCA